rnacentral:rRNA from 1 species
UAGCCGUAAACGAUACUCGCUAGGUGUCGGCCACGGUGCGACCGUUGUCGGUGCCGUAGGGAGCCGUGAAGCGAGCCACCUGGGAAGUACGGCCGCAAGGCUGAAACUUAAAGGAAUUGGCGGGGGAGCACCACAACGGGUGGAGCUUGCGGUUUAAUUGGAUUCAACGCCGGAAAUCUUACCGGGACCGACAGCAACAUGAAGGCCAAGCUGAAGACUUUGCCGGAUUAGCUGAGAGGAGGUGCAUGGCGUAGUCGUGU